UACGUAGGGUGCAAGCGUUGUCCGGAAUUAUUGGGCGUAAAGAGCUCGUAGGCGGUUUGUCGCGUCUGCUGUGAAAACCCGAGGCUCAACCUCGGGCCUGCAGUGGGUACGGGCAGACUAGAGUGCGGUAGGGGAGAUUGGAAUUCCUGGUGUAGCGGUGGAAUGCGCAGAUAUCAGGAGGAACACCGAUGGCGAAGGCGGUUCUCUGGGAAUGUCCUGACGCUGAGGAGCGAAAGUGUGGGGAGCGAACAGG
rnacentral:rRNA from 1 species